rnacentral:lncRNA from 1 species
GGGAGGCGGAGCUUGCAGUGAGCCGAGAUCCCGCCACUGCACUCCAGCCUGGGUGACAGAGCGAGACUCCGUCUCAAAAAAAAAAAAAAAAAAAAAAAAAGCUCUACCUCCUGCUUGACUGGCAACACAGGAUGUCUUGUGCGGCAAGUAUAAAGGACAAAAACACAAACAUGUAACACUUCCCAGUGGGGCUUCCAUCAGUCCCCAACCGGACAGUGCACCCUAGACCACAGACCCCACAGAGCAUAACACUGAAGCACAGGAUCCCAGAUAUGGCUCUCCCAAACUUUGUUUUGUUUAGUUUAACUUCACCAACUCACUGUUUUGUCUUAGAAACAUGAAAUCAAACAGAAUGAGAAUCGAAUUUUUUUUGGAGUUGGAGCAAAUCUAGCUAAGGGUCACAAUUGCCCCAAGACUUGCCCAAUUUGAGCUCAUGCUACACAAUUAAAUAUAUUCCUUAAAUAUUGUGUGCCUGCAACUUUUGAUUUUGUAAAUGGGUUCCCACAGGACAAAAAUGAGUCUUAAACAUAAAAUUAAACCAUACGAAUGUUAGUUUUUUAGUUAAUUUCAGCUGGGUGGUAGUCUAUAGUCCCAGCUACUCAAGUGGCUGAGGCAGAAGGAUCGCUUGAGCCCAGGAGUUCAGGGCUGCAGUGAGCUGUGAUCACACCACUGCACUCCAGCCUGGGGGAAGAGCAAGACCCUACAAACAAAAAAGAGUUAAUUCCAUUAUAUUUAUUUUUACACACCCAGAGUUUGACUAAAAUAUACCAGACAAUCUCCUGUCCCCAAAUCCAUGUCCAAGCAAGGGGAGCCACGUUUUCUAAGCUCACGGUUUAAAGGUUAAAGGGACACACUGAGGAAAACUCAGGGAAAGAAGCUGAUUUGCAUGGACACUAGGCCUGUCGUUGAUUCCCUCAUUUCAAAAGUUGCAUGUGCCAUGGGAGGCGGAGUCUCUGAGGACAUCCUGGCUGUGCCUUGGCGGCUCUGGACUCCAGCUCUACGCAGAGCUCCUUAACACUGUACUGGAAGAAAUGGGAAAUCGCAUUGAGGACUUACAGAAGAAUGUCAAUGACUUAAUGGUGCAAGCUGGCAUUGAAAAUUCAAUUAAAGAACAAAUGCUGAAGACCUAACUGCAGCAUGUCUGUAUUUGGAGAUGGGGCCUCUACAGAAGUCAUUAAGGUUACAUGGGUCCUGAGGGUGGGGCCCUCAUCCAACAGGAUUCGUCUUUCUGAGAAGAGACGCCAGGGGCUCGCCUGCUCUCCCCCCGUGCCUGCACCAGAGAAGGAGGCCAUCGGCAAGCCAAGGAGAGCCCUCCCCAGAAAUCACACGGACCAGCACCUUGAUCUGGGACUUCCAGAAAACAGAACUGUGAAAAGACAAGUUUCUGUUGUUUAAACCACCCAAUCUGAAGUAUUUUGUUAUGGCAGUCCUGGGCAGACUAAUACAAUAUGCAACACAUUUACAAUAAAUAUACAAUAAACUUACAAAUGUGGAAUGUAAUUGUUUUAUCUUUUUCUGGUAACGCCAGUAAAGUUGUUAUCGUAAGAGACAUAAUUCACACAUCAUCCACCAAUUAUGCAAUUGACAGAAUUGUACCAUUAUCACAAUCUUAGGGUACUUUUUCUUUUUAUGCCUGCUUGGCUUAUGUAAGCACAUUUUCAUUACAUCAAAAAUAAAACUGCCCAUUAGCUGUCAUCUCCUAUUUCCCCCUCCCUCCCAGUCUUAAGCAACCACUAAUCUGUCUCUAUGGAUGUGCCUAUUCUAGAAAUUCCGUAUAAAUGGAAUCGCACAAUAUGUAGUAACUGGCUUUUCACUUAACCUACUGAUUUCAACGUUCACCCGCAUUGUAGCAUGUGUCAGUACUUCAUUCUGUUUAUGACUGAAUAAUAUUCCGUUCUAUGGAUGGACAUUUUGUUUAACCGUUCAUCUGUUGAUGGACACGUGGGUUUCCACAUUUUGGCUUCUGUGUACGAGUUUCUAUGUGGACAUAUGUGUUCAAUUCUCCUGGGUAUGAAACUGCUGGGUCAAAUGGUAACACUAUGUUUAUCUUUUUUUUUUUUUUUUGAGACAGGGUCUUGCUCAGUUGCCCAGGCUGGAGUGCAGUGGCACAACCAUGGCUUACUGCAGCCUUGACCUCUGGGGCUUAAGUGAUCCUCCUGCCUCAGCCCCCCGAGUAGCUGGGCCCACAGGCACGCACCACCAUGCCCAGCUAAUUGUUCUGUAUUUUUUGUAGAGAGAGGGUCUCACCAGGUUGCCCAGGCUGGUCGUGAACUCCUGGGCUCAAGCAAUCUGCCUGUCUCAGCCUUCCAAAGUGCUGGGAUUACAGGCUUGAGACACCUGCACCCGGCCCAUGUUUAACUUUUUGACGACCUGCCUGCCUGUGUUACCACUUUGCCACCAGCAGUGUGAGGGCUCCAAUUUCUCCACAUCCUUGCAAACGCUUGUUGUGAUCUUUUUGUAUCUAGCCGAACUCGUGGGUGUGAAGUGGCGUCUCACUGUGGUUUUGAUUUGCACUUCCUUAACAAGCAGUGAUGUUGAGUGUCUCUUCGUGUGCUUCCUGGCCGUCUGUUUCACCUGCUCUGGAGAAAUAGCAGGAGUGUAAUACUGAGUGUUACAUGCCAGGUACUCGAGGUCACAUACACAUUCUCCCUAGCCCCUCACUCCGAUACGUUGUUACACUCUCCUACUUUAUACAUGGAAAAAUCAGCACUUGGGAGAUUAAACUGCAGAUCUGCAUUUGAAUUUUAAAUCCAUUUAAAAAGCACACACUCAUUUGUAGUGUAUGUAAAAAAUGUGCUUCAUUCUGUAAGUACCCUCCCGUUUCCACAACAGCAAUCAAUCUCCCGACAGCAGUGAGCCCUGUGCACCACUCCCGUGCCCGGCAGGCACCACGUGCUUCUGCGUCCACAUCUGUGUGCAGGGCAGACACUAUUAUCCGCCUUCACCAAGGAGGAAACGAAGCUCAAAGAAGGUACCCUGCCCAAGGUCACUUGGUGGGGCAGAGCCUGGGUCUGAGGUCAGAGGGCCCAGGAUGUGCUCAAGUGCCCCCAUCCCUGCCCUUCCUCACUUUCACUUCAGAGCUCGAGUGUGCUGAGACGGGACACGAAGAUCCCAACCAACCAGCCACACUGCUAGGAUGACAGAGGGCAAGAGAAACCUGAGACUGUAAUAAGGACAUUUUCUUUUCUUUUUUUGAGACGGAGUCUUGCUCUGUUGCCCAGGCUGGAGUGCAGUGGUGUGAUCUCGUCUCACUGAAACCUCCACCUCCCGGGUUCAAGCAAUUCUCCUGCCUCAGCCUUCCAAGUAGCUGGGAUUACAGGCACGCGCCACCAUGCCCAGCUAAUUUUUGUAUUUUUAGUAGAGACGGGAUUUCACCAUGUUGGCCAGGCUGGUCUCGAACUCCUGACUUCGUGAUCUGCCCACCUCGGCCUCCCAAAGUGCUGGGAUUACAGGUGUGAGCCACCGUGCCUGGCCAAUAAGGAGAUUUUCUAACUAUAUGAACUGAAGGGCCAUGGCCUCUACAGAAAAUAUGUUUACAUCAAAUACAAUCUUGGGAAGAAUAAAAAAUAGCUCUCCUAUUCCUUACAGGGAAGGCUAUAAACAAUAUUUUAUUGUACUGUUUUUAUAACCAGAGUAAACCUUUGGAUUCUGUCAUGGAUUGAAUUGUGUAACGGCAAAAUUUAUAUAUUGAAGUCCUAACCCCCAGCACCUCAGACUGUGACUUUUGUGGACCUAAGAUCCUUGCAAAUGUAAUUAGUUAAGAUUAGGCCAUGCUGGAGCAGGGUGGGCCCCAAUCCAACACAGCUGGUGUCAUUACGAAAAGGGGAAAUUUUGGACACCAGCACCCACACUGGGAGGACACAGGUGAAGGCAGAGAUGGGGCGAAGUAUCCACACACCAAGGAACUGAAAAGACCACCAGCAGCCCCCAGAAGCCAGGGACAGGCCUGAGCAGAUUCCCCUCACGGCCUCAGCAGCGACCCCCACCCCGCGACACCCUGAUCUCGGACCCCCGCCUGCAAAGCUGUGAGAGCUACAUCUCUGUUAAAGCCCAGCUCGCGGCAUAUGCUGUCACCGCAGCCCCAGCAAACCAACCAAGUAUGCGAAACGCACAGCCUCACAGGAUAAAUACCUUCGUUUUACUCCAAGGGUAAGAAUUAACUUUGACUAGGAAAAUCAGUAAUCUAUUCAUUAAGUUUCCUGAGAACAAACAAGUAGGCCUGCUCCUCUCACCACGUGCUUGUUUAUUUCGGUGAGUUAAGACCAUGUAAUCAAUUCCAUCUCAGAGGUCCUCCAGCCCUGGAGCUUCCUGUAUUUUCCAAAGGCUUUAAAUAGCUUAAAACGUUUCCACACAAAAAGGGCUCCACGACAUUUAUCCGCGCGGACUGAGGGCGCCUCAGUAGCGGUACUUGGUGGAGUAGUCCUUGGGGGACACCACCAGGCCGCGGCCUUUGCGGGCCCCGCGGUACACCGUCUCGAUGAUGUCCACCAUCUCCUGCUUGUCCUCCAUGGCCCAGUUAAUCUUGUUGUUGUUGCCAGUCCCCAAGUCAAUCAUGAUGUGCUUGUUCCUGCAACGAGAAACAAGGGCAUCCAUUCUCAUAGAAGUCUCUUUAAAAAAGAAUUCCUUGAAAACAAUGCCGUAUUUUUCCCACUGUGACAAGCUCUUGUUAACAUCACUGAAGAACGCGUAAAAUCGAGAGUGUAUGCCAUGAUGCAGGAGAAUACAGGAAGCACCUAAAUGUGUUUUUAAAGAUGCAAUGCAUUGUCCACCAUGCUCUUUCCUGCAUUUUUCUGUAUUUAUUUAGGACAGUUAUUCUAAGGGGAAAUUAAAAGGUCAAAGGAGGGCAGGCGCAGUGGCUCAUGCCUGUAAUCCCAACUCUAUGGGAGGCUGAGGCAGGAGGAUCACUUGAGGCCCGGAGUCCGAGAUCAACAUGGAAAACAAA